rnacentral:rRNA from 1 species
GACGAACGCUGGCGGCGUGCUAAACACAUGCAAGUCGAACGGAAAGGCCCUGCUUUUGUGGGGUGCUCGAGUGGCGAACGGGUGAGUAACACGUGAGUAACCUGCCCUUGACUUUGGGAUAACUUCAGGAAACUGGGGCUAAUACCGGAUAGGAGCUCCUGCUGCAUGGUGGGGGUUGGAAAGUUUCGGCGGUUGGGGAUGGACUCGCGGCUUAUCAGCUUGUUGGUGGGGUAGUGGCUUACCAAGGCUUUGACGGGUAGCCGGCCUGAGAGGGUGACCGGCCACAUUGGGACUGAGAUACGGCCCAGACUCCUACGGGAGGCAGCAGUGGGGAAUAUUGCACAAUGGGCGGAAGCCUGAUGCAGCAACGCCGCGUGCGGGAUGACGGCCUUCGGGUUGUAAACCGCUUUCGCCUGUGACGAAGCGUGAGUGACGGUAAUGGGUAAAGAAGCACCGGCUGACUACGUG